CUGACAAACGACUGCAGCAGGAUAAUCAACAAAUAGCUGAGCAAUUAGGGCAAAAUGUUCAUAGAAUAGAUAAAAGGUAGAAAAUGGUAAAUAAUCAACAUGAAGAAUGGUGAGUAGGGGCUCAGGUAGUAUAUCAUGGGCUCCCAGGAAAGAGUGCACCUUGGGCUGCGAGUGGGAUGGAUCUGGCACUAGCACAAAUAAAGGCAUUUCCAUUGUUUAUUAGUUCAAGUGAGUUCUGACAAUGUCAGGCACCUUCAUCAAUCACAGCCAAAGCUUUGGAAAGCAGAAAAGCACUAAGCCAUAAGGAAAGAUGUCUUUACUUUUCAGAUGACAGAGAGGAGUGAGUGUUAACCGUCACCAGACCUGGAUCAGCACAGAAACAGGGAUCUGCUGUGGUGGCUUUCAACAUCCUCAAAGGCAUCUAAUUGUUCAGGACAUACUGAGUAUCUGCACUUACAGAAAUCAAGCCUCGAGUGGAACUCCCCUGAAAGCCAGGCACCGGGAAGCCAAGAUUAGUUUUCGGAAAGUGUGGCUUCACCGUGCAGAGGGUCCAGCCCUGCAGGGCCACACCAGGCUUUGGCCAGCCUGCUCUGGCAGGCAGUGCUGGCACCUUGGGCUUGGCGUUGAUUGAAUUGAGUGGCUGCUGCUGCUGCUGCAAAUACACACAACCUACUGUGGAGCUUCCAAACAGCCUGCCUGCCUAAUUCCAGGAUUACAGCGCUUAAGGACAGAUCAGUGCCAAACCCCCGAAUUCUGUCCCUGUAGAGAAAGAAGCGAGAGUUGUCACAGAUGGAACACACUGAAGAAGGAAAG